CCAGAUUUUGACGUCAACACAGUCGCUACAGUCCCAUUAGUUUUCUUUGUAGCCUCGUUUGAAUGUCGCUGUUGCGCACAUUUGUCAUUUGUAUGGAAUGGGGGUCGGGUGUUAAGGGACCACUUGUCACGUUGUCCAAGCACAACAGGAGAGCAUCCCUCAAGCCAUCUGGUGCAUGGACAUUGUGUGCCAAUAUGAUGCGAGCGCAAGAGUCCAGUUGUAGACUACUGCAGAUCGAGCAUGUGGAAGGACAGAUCAGUAACUCUUCAAAUGAGAAACAUUAUUGUGUUGACUGAGAACACAUGAGGCAUGACAUACGGAACAUCUUCAGGCUCCCCCCAUGAGAAGCAUUGCAUGAUGUUCAAAGCCACCCCCAGCAAGGAUAUCUGCUGGAAAUGAUGGCUCUCCCAUCUUUAGAUGUACUCUAUACAACUCUGUGUCCUAUCCAUACAACUCUACUUACUUCUUAUUUGGAGUUCAAUUAAAACAUUGAAGUUCCAGGUG